UUUUACUCGAAUAAAAACACUCAAAAAUGUACUCCACAAAUGUAAAAGCGUUAAAGCGUUUUAAAGGGGGCUUAAAUUUAGAGGUGUCCUUUCGCUACAAAGCAUUUAGUACUUGUUCUUUUUAAAAAACAGUAGGUCACUCCGAGUUUCAUAUGCAUGCUACACGUGAAACUGCUACCCCCACUGCCUGCCUGCAUAAAAGAGAACAGACAAGAAAAACGAGUAAAUCAGCCACCGGACUGACGUUAACCUGUAAAUUAGGAUUCAUGGCCUCGCCCACUGGGCUUGUGACCGCCCACGGGAAGAGCGUGCGUGGUUUCUGAGAGAAGCCUAGAGAGAGCAGAGAGCGUCUCAUCAGCUGGAGCUAAAUACACCUUUAAGAAGAUGGCGGAACAAAUUCGUUCCUGUUCUGUUUGUGGAAAUAAAACCUCAACAUUAUAUGCUUUGCCCAAGAAUGAGGAGCUGCGGACGAAAUGGUUGGAGUUUAUAUUUGGAGCACCGCCCGAUUUCUACAACGCGUCCCUAGUCGUGUGUUGUGAUCAUUUCCACGAGAGUGACUUUACUAACUACGGUGCCUACAGUAGAGGAUUUUCUUCGAGGUUGAUCUUAAAACCUGGAGUUUUACCGUCACUGCGAUCGACCACCACAGACUCACAGACUGUACCCAAACAGAUUCCCUUGUUGCCACUACGACUAUCGCCACAAGUACCCUGGAUGCACCAUGGGCGCCUGCUAACUCAGCACCCCUCAGGACUGUUUAUCCAAGGCCAGCAAAAAGACCUCGGGUAUAUGAAGAGGAAGAAGAUGAAGAAGAAAAGGAGGAGGAUAAGGAAGAGGAGAAAGAGGAGGAGAAGAAGGAGGAGGAAAAGGAGUAUAAGGAGGAGGAAAAGGAGUAUAAGGAGGAGUAUAAGGAGGAGUGUAAGGAGGAGUAUAAGGAGGAUAAGGAGGAGUGUAAGGAGGAGUGUAAGGAGGAGUAUGAGGAAGAGGAUGAAUGUCACACCAUUACAAUUAAACUUGAACCCUAUGACUUCCACCUGUGAUUCAGCGCAAUGUGCCGUAACAAAAAUCUUUAAAGCUUAUGAAUGUGUUUUGGCAUGUCAUUUCAUCUAAGUGACAAUAUAUUGAUGGACAUUGACAUGUCUUUGCAUUAAUACUGUGCUUUUAAAAACUAACAUUGUGGGUGUAUAUAUUGCCAUUUGUCUUAAACAGCGAUAUGUCUUCAGCUGGACGCAAACUAAAUGGUAAUAACUGGUUUUAAAUGUCCAGUCUGCACUUGGGUGCCCGUUGCAAAGACCCACAGAUGAGGAACGUUUUAUCUAUUGCAUUUUGCCAAGCCAUGUAAGCAACAUACAACUGUCAGCAUACACAUUCAACAUUGUUUUUAUGUUUUUUUUGUUUGUUUGUUUUUUUUCCCGUGUGCUUUUUUUGGUAUUGAAAGUACAUGCAAAGCACAAUAAUAAAAAUAAAAAAAACGUCUUUUCA
rnacentral:lncRNA from 1 species